UACGUAGGGAGCGAGCGUUGUCCGGAUUCAUUGGGCGUAAAGAGCUCGUAGGCGGCUUGAUAAGUCGGAUGUGAAACCUCCAGGCUCAACCUGGAGUCGCCAUCCGAUACUGUCAUGGCUAGAGUCCGGUAGGGGCCCACGGAAUUCCUGGUGUAGCGGUGAAAUGCGUAGAUAUCGGGAGGAACACCUGUGGCGAAAGCGGCUCACUGGACCAUAACUGACGCUGAUGCACGAAAGCUGGGGGAGCAAACAGG
rnacentral:rRNA from 1 species